rnacentral:rRNA from 1 species
AGUGGCGGACGGGUGAGUAACGCGUGAGAAUCUGCCUUGGGGUCGGGGACAACCACUGGAAACGGUGGCUAAUACCGGAUAAGCCGAUUGGUGAAAGAUUUAUUGCCCGAAGAGGAGCUCGCGUCUGAUUAGCUGCUUGGUGAGGUAAGAGCUCACCAAGGCAGCGAUCAGUAGCUGGUCUGAGAGGACGAUCAGCCACACUGGGACUGAGACACGGCCCAGACUCCUACGGGAGGCAGCAGUGGGGAAUUUUCCGCAAUGGGCGAAAGCCUGACGGAGCAAGACCGCGUGAGGGAGGAAGGCUCUUGGGUUGUAAACCUCUUUUCUCAGGGAAGAAGCUCUGACGGUACCUGAGGAAUCAGCCUCGGCUAACUCCGUGCCAGCAGCCGCGGUAAUACGGAGGAGGCAAGCGUUAUCCGGAAUUAUUGGGCGUAAAGCGUCCGCAGGUGGCGAUUCAAGUCUGCUGUCAAAGCACGGGGCUUAACUCCGUAAAGGCAGUGGAAACUGAAUAGCUAGAGUGCCGUAGGGGUAGAGGGAAUUCCCGGUGUAGCGGUGAAAUGCGUAGAGAUCGGGAAGAACAUCGGUGGCGAAAGCGCUCUACUGGACGGCAACUGACACUCAGGGACGAAAGCUAGGGGAGCGAAUGGGAUUAGAUACCCC